rfam:Felis catus isolate Cinnamon breed Abyssinian chromosome B4, whole genome shotgun sequence.
GCCUGGGUGGCUCAGUCGGUUGAGUGUCCAACUUCAGCUCAGGUCAUGAUCUCACAGUCCGUGGGUUCGAGCCCCACAUCAGGCU